CACGAUGUAAGAAUUUUGACAAGAUUUCGAUGUCGAAUGCUUCUCAGGGCCUCACAUUCAGACAUAAAACUCCUGAAAGCCCCAUGCUGUUGAAGGUUAAGCACUUUCACUGCGACGAUGUCGGCAUUUUCAUAGUUCAUGGCGGCUUUAUAAACCGACCCAAAACUUCCCCUGCCGAUCAGAUUAUUUGAGGAGAACCCAUCUGUAGCCCUCAAGAGCUCAUCGUAAGAUACUUUCGCGUGUCGGGUUCUUAAGGAAAACCUCGACAACGGCUUUCUCUGUGAGUUUUUAAUCAAGUGAUGUACCCCAAGCAAGCCCAUGAUUAUAAUCAAACACAAAAUUGCUCCACCUACGGGAAUGAGUAUUACCUUGAGUUUAUAAUCAGAGUGAUGUUUUGCUGCAAAGGCAUCCGAAGUGCAUUUUGGCAAGUGUAAUUCUGGAUUUCCGCCACAGAGUUUAGAGUUUCCGAUAAGUGAGACUUCGCUCGCAUUCUUAAAAACCCCUUUCAUUGGCACUUGACCCUCGAAACUGUUGAAGGAGAGAUUCAAGUAUUUUAGAUCCGGGAGCUCAUCAAGGAAUGCGGGUAUUUGGCCCGAGUAGAAGUUUUUCGAGAGAUCAAGCUUCUUAAGCCCUCUUAAAUUGCUAAUGGAGGAAGGAAUGGACCCUUGAAAUAAGUUAUUCUCUAAAUGAAGGAUUUCCAAGAUUGUGCAUUUGCCAAUGGUGUCUGGAAUCUCACCAGAGAGCCUGUUAUUUGAGAGAUCAAGCGCCCUGAUAUUUAUCAAGUUGCCCACUUCCAACGGUAAUGAACCGUUUAGUAAAUUAUGCGACAAGUCGAGGAAGCUUGCGAGCGACGAAAGCCUCAAAACUUCUUGCGGAAUGCUACCGCUUAGCCUAUUAUUUGAUAGAUUUAACAACUCUAGCAUUAACAUCUUGCUUAAUGUCGGUGGAAUGGCUCCUUCAAAUUCGUUGCUGCCGAGAUAGAGCUUGUCCAUUAAUGUUAGGUUGCCCAAGGUCGGAAGAAUUUCACCCGAGAGCAUGUUGUCCGACAGAUCCAAGUACUGUAAUUGCCAAAGAUGGCUGAUUUCUAUGGGAAUAGUGCCUCGAAGAUCGUUAACGCUCAUGUCAAGAAAAGUUAGAUUGAUGAGCUUCUCAAUCUCAGUAGGUAUAAUUCCUGAUAUUUGGUUGUUACUGAGUAACAAAAAAUUAAGACUGGUGGAAAAAUUGACUAUUGAUUUGGGCAUCAUGCCUUGAAGUAGAUUGUAUCUUAGAUCCAACACUUGGAGACUGGUGCAGUUGGUCAGUGCUGUAAUGAAGCUCCACUCACUGAGCUUCCUGGCUUCGAGUCGAUUGAGGGCCAGUGUGAGCCACGAGAGACUCUGCAAGGCUCCAAGGCUCGGCGGUAUCGUGCCAUGGAAUGCAUUGGACUCUAGCUCAAGGUAGUUGAGCUCAGAAGCGUUGGACAAGGAUGCUGGAAUUCGCCCCCGGAGCUGAUUCUUAGUCAUAACAAGGACUUGAAGGUUCGGAAGAGCAUUUCCGAUAUCAGAGGGUAGAGUUCCCUCGAGUUGGUUAUAAUAGAGUUGAAAGGUGUUCAGGGAUGAUAGAUUGUAAAGGGAUGACGGUAUUUCUCCUGUUAAGUUGUUCAUCCCGAGACUGAGAUAUUCGAGAGAUGAAAGUCGUCCGAGCGAGAUUGGGAUCGUCCCGGAGAGAUUAUUAGAAGUGCAGUCCAGGUAAGAGAGGAAUGGAAGUUCUGCAAAGUGAGGAAUUUCACCAUGAAGGUUGUUUUCUCGUAGCAAAAGCAGGUUCAGAGAGGAGAGGUUCGUAAGAGUCGACGGAAUGGUUCCUGUGAGACUAGUGUAUUGGAUUUCAAGUAUCUGCAAGGAGAGAAGGCUACCGAAGGAUGAAGGCAUGGCUCCUGACAAGUUAUUAUUAUCUAAAGAAAGAAUGAGUAGAGAAGAAAGAUUCCCAAUUGAAUCUGGGAUCGUCCCUUGUAACAUGUUUUGACUCAGGAUGAGCUUUCUAAGACCGGAAAGACGCGAUAGAGUUGGCGGGAUCUCACCGUCGAGCUUAUUAUCUCGCAAGUUAAGUACUUGAAGAUUAGAGCAAUUGCCGAGCGAAGACGGGAUCAUUCCGCGAAGAGAAUUCUCACUCAAGUUGAGAUAUUGCAGCCGGCGCAAGCUGCCUAGGUCCUCCGGGAUGCUUCCGUCUAGCAUGUUGUCGGACAGGUCGAUCCUCCGGAGGAACGUGAGUUUGGCUACGGCAGGCGAUACGAAACCAGCCAGGCGAAGAGACUUGAGGUCGAGGGCUGUGACCCGGUGGGGAUGGCGGCGGCUGCAGGAGACGCCGUGCCACCUGCAGUAGUGGAGAGAGCCGUUGUUCCACGAGGAGAGCGCUCCGAACGGAUCGUCAUCGACGAGGGACUUGAAGGAGAGGAGGGCGGCGCGGUCGGAUGCAGCUGGCUCGAUCCCGAGAGUGGCGUACUUGGCGGUGGAGAUCACAUACAGCAGAAUGAUGAGAAAAAUUAGUGCAUGGAAGCCUUCCAUUCUACGAACUAAGACAAGAGAAAGCUAAAGCUAUAGCAAUCCUGCAGCACCCAGCUCUUCGCUGGUAUUUGUUGUUGGCAACUGGAUAUAUAAUAAACUAAAUUCCAUGCUUAGUCAAAAAGCCAAUUGUUGUAGUAAGGGCCUGUUUGCCUAGCUUCUAAAAAAAUGAUUUCUGAAAAAAUAAUUUUGGUUUGAGGAAGUGAUUUUAGUUAAAAACUAUAGAGCGUUUGGUAAAUUUUAAAUAAAAGUGAUUUUUCUAAAGUGAUUUUGAAAAGCUGUUUGGCAAAUUUUUUUUGAUAUUGCCAUAAAUUAAUAUUUUUAUUAAAUUUUAUUUUAAAUUAAUUUAAAAUCUAAAUUUAAAUUUGAAUUAAAAUUAAAACUUUUAAAUUUCAAAAUUGUACAAAAUUUAAAAUUUGAUAUUUUAAUUUUAAAAAUAAUUUAAAAUUUAAAAAAUUUAAAAUUUAAAAUAAUUAUGAAAUUUAGAAAUUAAAAAUAUAAAUAUAAAUUUAAAAAUAAAUAUAUUAUGAAUUUUAAAAUAUUAAAUUUUAAUAUAUAAAAAUAUAAAUUUAAAUUAAAAUUUCAAACUUUAAAUUUAGAAUUUUGAAUUUAAAAUUUAAAAUCUAAAUUUAAAAUUUAAAAUUUAAAAUUUAAAUUUAAAUUUUGAAAUUUAAAAUUUAAAAUUUAAAAUCUAAAUGUAAAAAUAUAAAUAAUUAUGAAAUUUAAAAUAUAAAAUAUUUAUAUUUAAAAAUAUUAAAUUUUAAAUUUCAAAAUUUAAAUUUAAAAAUUAAAAUUAAAAAUAAAAAUUAAAAUUAAAUUUAAAAAUUAAAAUUAAAAAUUAAAAAUUAAAAAUUAAAAUUAAAAUUAAAAUUUAAAAUUAAAAAUUUAAAAUAAUUAUGAAAUUUAAAAUAUAAAAUAUAAAAUUUGAAUAUUUAAAAUUUAAAAUUUAAAAUUUAAAAUUUAAAAUUUAAAAUUUAAAAUUUGAAUAUUUAAAAUUUAAAAUUUAAAAUUUAAAAUUUAAAAUUUGAAUAUUUAAAUAUUAAAUAUUAAAUAUUUAAAAUUUAAAUAUUAAAAUUUGAAAUUUUAAAUUUUUAAAAUUUGAAAUUUAUAAUUUGAAGAUUAAAAAUUAUAAUUUAAAAUUUAAAAAUUUAAAAUUUUUACAUUUAAAUUUUAAAAUCUCAAAUUUUAGAUUUGAAAUUUUAUCUUAAAUUUGAAAUUUGAAAUUUGAAAAUUGAAAAUUGAAAAUUGAAAAUUGAAAUUUUUAAAAUUUAAAAUUUUAAAAUCUAAAAUUUGAGAUUUGAAAUUUAAAAUUAAAAUUUAAAAUUAAAAUUUAAAAUUUAAAGUUUGAAAUCUUUUUUUAAAAAUUUAAAAUUUAAAAGUUAAAAUUUAAAAAUUCAAAGAUGAAUCUGAAAAUUAAAAUUUAAAAUUAAAAUUAAAAUUAAAUAUUUAAAUUAAAAUUAAAAUAAAAAAUUGAAGUUUAAAUCCAAAAUCAGAAUCAGAUUUCAAAAACAGUUUUUUUUCUGUUUCUAAUUCUGAGGUAUUCAAAAUUAGUUUUUUGAUUCUACAAAGCAGAAUCAGAUUUGAAAAGUGAGUUGCCAAACGCUUUAUUGAGCCGAAAAUUACUUUUCAGCCCAAAAGUAUUUUUUAAAAGUUAGACCAAACACCCCUAAGGACGUAAAACUAUGGUGUGUGAAUUCUUUUGUACCUAGUGAUGCGUGCAAUUAAUACUUCUGCAAAAUGUCACAAAUGGUAGUUAGUAUCCGAGAAUUUAAAUUCAAAAUUUAGUUGUUUUAUAUUUUAGCUAUCCGGAUAGCUAAAAGCACCUAUCUCUAUUUGUUGUUGAAUAUUCGUGCACCGUAAAAAAUAAAUGAAGUGGAUAGCUAUAGGGGUGGCAAUCCAGCUUACUGUUCGCGAGCCAGCUCGUGUUCGGCUUGAAAUGAGCUCAAGAUCGAAUCGUUCUUUUAAUAAGCGAGCCAAACACGAGCUGAAUUUUUCAGCUCGUUUAAUAAACGAGCCGAACAUGAGCUGGGGUCAGCUCGCUCGUGUUCGGGUCGAUAACAGCUCGAAUACAUAUAUUUUAUAUUUAUAUAAUUUAUAUUUAUAUAUAUUUAUAUAUACAAAUAAAUAAUUAUAUAUAUAAUAUAUAUAUUUUUAUUAUUUGAUUUUUAGCCAAAAAAAUAUAAAGCCGAGCUCAAUUAUAAAGAGACUUAUUUAUAUGUAAAGUUUCAACAAUUAGAUUAAAGUCUAGUGAGUAAUAUUUUAUAAACUUAUUUUUUAUGUAGAUCCAAUCUAAUCAAUUUAACUUAUUGUUCGUUGGCCAGCUCGUGAACCAGCUCGUAUUCGGCUCGUUAAUAAACAAGCCGAACACAAGCUGAAUUUUUCGACUCGAUACUUUAAUGAGCCAGCUCGUGUUUGGCUCGUUGACGCCCCUAGAUAGCUAAGACUAUCUAGUUAUAAUUGUACAUUUUCUUUUUUGAGAGAUAGGUAGCACGCUGCCCGCUUCAUUUAUUUCAUUUAGGAAUAAACUAAGCUAGAAAUGUGAAUCAACUAGGAUUCGAACUUGGGUCUCGAGUACCAACCACCAAGUCCUUUGCCACUUGUUCUAGGAACGGUUGGUUAUAGUUGUACAUUUUCGUAUUGCAAAAAAUGAAUGGAGUGAGUAGCUAGAAGCACCUACUAACUAGUAUGUCAAAUACUUUGGGUGAUGGUUGUGUUUUUCGGUGUUGGUGGUUCCUUGCAUUGGAUUCUUGCAUUUGUAUGUGACGCUUUGUUUGAAUGUAAAUAGCUCUUUUUCUUGGUUAAUAUUCUCCUUCUGUCAUACUAUUUAUGAUCUUUCCGUAGUUUGUGCUUAAAGUCUAAAAUUAGUACAUACAUCCUUCUAUUUAUGAUCUUUCCGUAGUUUGUGCUUAAAGUCUAAAAUUAGUACAUACAUCCUUCUAAAUAGGCUUGAAGCUUAUUAUAGAAUUAUACAAUUUAACUUGAUAGAUAUAAUCUACACUAUAAUUUAUAAACUCUUAUGAAAAUUCAUGCACUUUUGUCUACAUGGCGAUAUUAGCUUAAUUUUGUAAUUUCGUGGAACCUAUUUGUCAUACUAAAUUACAUGCCGCUCGCCGCUCGUCCCAACUAGAUGCUGCUCCAACUCCUGAUGCUCCCAUAUUGAUCUGGACGGGUGAGAGUUGGAGUGGAGCCCACUUUUUAUUCAUCCCAAUUCUUCUGUCUUUCCCAUUUUCCACAUUCAUUUGAUCAGAAGAAAGGGGUACGACCGUACGGGGGGUCGGGCCCACUUUUUUUUAAGUUGAAAUUCAACGCGGUGUUCUCUCAUGCUAAUUUGGCCAGAGGGAAUUAGGGUUAGGGUCAACUUCUUUUUUUCAAAGUUUCAGAUUUACAAGAUACAAAGUUUUUCAUUUACAAGAUUAUCGAACCUGCCCAGAUCUUUUUCCAUCCCAAAUUCUCCCCUCUCUCCCAUUCUCCACGUCGGAGUUGGGUGGGGCCCCUUUUUUACAAACUAAAUUCUCCUCCUCUCUCUCAUUCUCUAUCAAUUUUUCUGAUAUUUUACAAUAAAACGAAUUUUUAACUAAUCAAUAUUAUAAAAUUAAAAUUUAUAUUUAAUAUAUGUAAUAUAAACUAUACAAAAAGUUAUGUGUAAAAAAUUACAUAAUUUAAAUUUUUAUAAUAAUAUUUUAGAAAUGUAGACAACAAAAUUUAGUUUUACACCCCGAUGGUACAAAAUAUUUUUCAUCCACCAUUUUAUCUUUUCUUCUCAUCUAUAAAAAAUUGUUGUUUAAUAAAUGAGCCGAAUACAACCUGGGGUCAACUCUCUCAUGUUCAGCUCAAUAACAGCUCCAAUAUAUAUAUUUAUAUAACUUAUUUAAUUUAUAUUUAUAUAUAUAAAUAAAUAAUUGUAUGUAUAAUAUAUAUAUUUUAUUAUUUAAUAGUAAAAGAAAUAUAAAGUUGAGCUCAAUUAAAGAAAGACUCAUUUAUAUAUAAAGUUUCAACCAUUAGAUCAAAGUUUUGUGGGUAAGAUUUUAUAAAUUUAUUUUUUAUAUAUAUCAAAUCUAAUUCAUUUAAUUUAUUGUUUGUUGCCCGCUCGCGAGCCAGCUCGUGUUCGACUUGUUAAUUAACCAGCGGAGCACGAGCUGAAUUCUUCGUAUAUAAUAAUUUAUUAAUUUUAUAGUUUAGAGUUUCUUCUUUCUUCGUUCAUUAGUUUGAGAUAUUUAUAGGUCCAACUCAACCUAAUGGGUCCAAAAUCAUUACCGAAUAUAAAAAAUAUCGUCACCAAAUAUCUAUUAUGCCGACAAAAAUUAUUGUCAUAUGUUGCUGCAAAGGAUUCCACUAGCCACCAAAUUGUUACAAGUCGGGGCAACAAUAUUUUUCCACCAAAGUAAAAUUUGGAGGCAACUAUUUAUCGCCACCAAUUACCAAGAUUUGGUGGAAACUAGUUUUUGCCACUAGCAUUCAACUUUAGGCGGCGGAUAUUUAUCGCCACCAAAUGUGAGAUAUGGUGGCAAAUAUUUAUCGCCACAUUUAAAUGUGAUAUUUAAUGACAAAUAUUUAUCGCCAUUAAAUAUGACAUUUGGUGGCGCAAUUAUUUAUCGCCAUAUUAUUUUUGCCAUCAAUACGUGCUCUAAUCAAAAGCAGAUAUUUCGUCCUAUUUUACUUCGUUCUACAUAUGCUAAUGUAGGCCUACAUAUCAUGCUUUCGGUUGAUCAAGUUCUCUUUUGAUUUAACCCAAGAAGCAGCAAACAAAUUCUGGAACUUAUGCUACUAGAGAAAUCUGAAAUGAGUUUCGUCUGUACCACAUAGAAAGAGUUGGUAAAAGACUUACAAUUUGAAUAAAUUUAAAAUAUACCCCAAACUCACUCUUACAUCUAUGUGUGUGUGUGUGUGUGUGUGUGUUUUUUUUUUGAGAAAUAGAUAGUAUACUACCCGCUUCGUUUAUUUUAUUUAGACAUAAACUUAGCUGAAAAUGUGAAUCAACUAGGAUUCGAAUUCGAAAUCUCAUGUAUCAACCACUAAACCUUUUGUCACUUGCGCUAGAGAUGAUCGGAUACAUCUAUGUGUGUGUGUUGAUACACCUUAAUUAAUAGUCCCUUUCGGACAUGCCAUAUAUGUCACCUAGCUACUAGUGUAAUUAAAGAGAUGCGCAUGCAUGUAUCUUUUUUCCUUACUAAAGCUUUUUGCAUUGAAUUGUUCCCUCUCUAAAAUAAUUCUUGCUUUAAUCUCGUUACGACAGAUAGAUACUGUUAAAAUAAAAAUUUAUAAAAAAUUAAUAUCAGUUUAGUACAAAAUAUAAUAAAUAUAGUCCAUAUUAUAGGCAAACACUUUUAAAAAAAUAAAACUAUAAUGAAAAAAAAUCAAUUGUUCCAACAAAAUUAUUCAAGCUUGUUCAAAAAAAAAUCGCUAUCAUGUAAAUGGAUGAUUAAAAUUAUUUUUCUAACACAAUAAUCAAAUAAAAUAUCAUAUGGGAGUUGAUAUAACUAAAAAAAAAAAAAUCACAAUAAUAUGCAAGACAAUUUACAAUAAUAUAUAUAUAUAUAUAUAUAUAUAAUCAAUUAAUUGACUCUGAAUAUGAAACACAACAAAGGUUCGAAUUUGCUAAUUUCGAUCCAUCAUCACAAUAAACGAUUUCACACUAUUGGCAAAGAUAAUGUGAAGCCAUACAUUCUCGGGAGAUGAUGUGAAACCAUACAUCCCUCAAGUGGUCCGUCGAGGCCUCAAAGCGCGUAAUGUUGAAAGCAAUGUUGGAGGAACCUAAGAUUUUGAAAGGUUUAUUGCUUUAAAUUUAAAAAUUUUGACACAUUCUCAAGAAAUUUCAACAAAACUUUUGUUAAAAUUUAAGAAAGAGGGUGAAAGACCAAAAAGUAAAGGAAAGGGGUAAAAAAAAAAAACUCUUUAAGCCUUAGUAAAUCUAAGGAAAAAGAGAAAAACUUUUUUAAAAGAAGUAGGCCCCACUCCUCUUCAAAUUAAGAGGGUGGGUACACGUAGAAUUUAGUCAUAGAAAUUAAUGUAUAGGUAUAGAUUUUUCACACUAUUGGCAGAGAUAAUGUGAAACCAUAUAUUCUUAGGAGAUAAUGUGAAACCAUACAUCCUUCAAGUCGUCUGUCAAGGCCUUGAAGCACGUGAUGUUGAAAGCAAUGGAGGAGAAGCCUAAGAUUUCGAAAGGAUUGUUGCUUGAAAUUUAAAAAUUUUGACACAUUCUCAAGAAAUUUCAACAAUUUUUUGUUAAAAUUUAAGGAAGAAGGUGGAAAACCAAAAAGUAAAGGAAACGGGUAAAAAAAAAAAAAACUCUUUAUAUGCCUUAGUAAAUUUAAAAAAAAGGAGAAAAAAAAAAAAAAAAAAAAAAAAAAAAAGGCCCCAUUCCUCAAAUUAAGAGGGUGGGUACACGUAGAAUUUAGUCAUGGAGAUUAAUAUAUAGGUAUAGGAGUAUAGAUUACAGGUUGGGAGCUAUCUCGGGUACACACAUAAAAUUCUCACUUGAGCUAAAAAGAAAAAAGAAAAAAAGAAAAAAGAAAAUGGUACGAGUAAAUUAUGUUUGGAUUGUUGAAAAAGGAAAAAAAAUACAUAAAAAAAUUUACCGGUCAUAAUAAUAUUUUCCUUGAAACGUUUACUGUUUACUUAAUUAUAGUCGAUCUAGAUUAGGAGUGGAAAUCCAGCUCGCUGUCCACGAGUGAGUUCGUGUUCGGCUCGAAAUGAGCUCGUGUUCGGAUCGAAUGACCCAUUUAGUAAAUGAGCUGAAUAAGAGUUUGAAUUUUUCAGCUCAUUUAAUAAACGAGCUGCAAACGAGCUGGGGCAAGCUUGCUUGCGUUGGAAUCGAAUACAUAUAUUUUAUAUUUAUAUAAUUUAUAUUUAUAUAUAUAAAUAAAUAAUUAUAUAAAAAAUAUAAAAAUAUAAAAAUAUAGAUUUUCAUUAUUUUAUUUUUAGUCCAAUCUAAAUAUAAAGCCAACUCAAUUAUAAAAAGACAUAUUUAUAUAUAUGUGAACUUUCUACCAUUAGAUUAAAGUCUAAUAGAUAAUAAGUUUUCAUAAAUUUUAUUUUUUAUAUAUAUUCUUUCUAAUCCUUAACUUGUUAUUUGUGAGCAAGUUUGUGUUCGGCUCAUUAAAAAAUGAGAACACACAUUAAAAAUGAGCCAAACAUGAGAAGCAUUUUUUGGCUCAAUACUUUAACGAGCCAACUCAUGUUGAAACGUGCUGAACACAAGCUAGUUGACACCCCUAAUCUGGAUGUUAUGUUUAGUUUGUUCAAAUCUAGUUAAUUAUGACUAGUGUACAAUGAUCGGAAAUACGAAUUAAUUUAUCUUAAUAUUUCAGAUGACUAGUAAUUCGGCAUUUGUUCUGCAUGCCUCUUAACUUCGUUAACUUGGUCAAUUUAUUUAUUUAGAGAUGGGUGUUUUGAUCACAACCGGCUUAAUUGGAGGUGGUCCAAAUGUAACAAAAAAAAUGCAUAAUUAAUUAGGUACUUAUGGUCACUCGGAGUUUUUCACGAGUCAAAUCCGGUGGAAUUACAUAUAUUUCUCACUAUAAAAAAAUGUGGCCGAGAAAACGGCAUAUAAAGCGCGAAAGCUAAAAUUAUUUAAAUUGUUCUUUCUUUCGUUUUUCAUUUCGAAAAUCACCGGCUUUUGCUUUAAAGAAAAUCUAUUAGGAUGUUUAUUGAAAAGCUGUGAGUGCUAACUCCUUCACAAGCUCGAUUGAGAUAGCACUAGCUACUGCAGCAGUAGAAGCAAAGAGGCUUAUAGUGUCGCCAAAAGUAUUGAUCAUUUUUACAACUUCCAAGAUUUAUUGUUUGAUCAUCUUUCGGAUAUUUGGUUGACGAGUUUUGGAUCAAGAAAAUUUUUCGUAACCAAGCGGUUGGCCGAUGAUCGAUCCUAUUUCCAGAAAGAAAAAGCGAUUUGCUUGCACCUCAGAAAGUACAAGAAAUUCAGGGUGGGCGGUGUAUGCAUGUAUGUAUCUGGUGUUCUUUUUCCGUUGCGUCAAAUUCACGUUGGGCGAUCGCAUCUGAAACCUCUCAUUCAUCGCAACUUUGGUGUUAGAAACAGCUAGCAUUUGGUUGUGUUUUUCAGAGUCUUUGUGGUCCUUUGCAUUGGAUUCUUGCUUUUACAUGUGAUGCUUUGUUUGAUUGUAAAUGGUUUUGUUGUUGUCGUUGUGGUCAAUGUCCUCCUUUCAUACUAUUUUAUGAUCUUUCUCUCUAUUUUGUGCUAAUUUUAGGUAAACAUGCAUGGAGUCACUGCAAAUAUAGGCCAUGUAAAAUAGGACCCUCAAUUUCAUUGUUCUUUUUCAAUAGACACCUUCUGAACUUUAUUUAUUUCGUUCGGGUUAUUUCAGUUUAUUGAAUUGGGAUUUUGUUAAAACUAAACUCUCUGGGAACUAAAAUUCUAUUGUUUCCUGACAUCAUGUACUGAUUGAAGCAUCUCAAAAUCGACAAUUUGAGUCUACAUUGCUUAAAUUUUUUGUUUGAAAAUAAUUUAAGCUAUAUAGAUCAAGGUUCAUACCUUUGAUCUUAAAUUGAUGAAUCCUAUGAUUCAUUUUCAUAAUGUUGUUAAAGUUCAUUCUGCAGCUGCUUGAUGAACCAUAAAAUAAUCUUUAAAAAUCAGAAAAUUUGGUUCACUUACAAUACCCAAAAUCAUAUUUAUCAGUGUAGAUUGUUGAUCCAGAUGUCCUUUCAUCGGAAGGAGACCACUCAAUAGGAUAAAGAACUGCGUUGUCUUAGAAGGAUAGUAGCUAGGGGUGGAAACAAGCUGAGCUUGAGCAAGCUUACCUCAGCUUAAGCUUGAUUUAAAAUUAAUUUUAAGCCUAAAUUUAGUAGGCUCAAGCUUGGCUUGAAAUUAAUUCGAGCCGAAUUCGAACGAGCCUAAUUUCGAGUUGAGCGCGCUCGAGACCUAAACGAGCCGUUUGAAAAUCUUAACAUCAUAUAAUUUAUAGUUUAAAUGUUAUAUAACAUUAUCUAAAAUUGAUAUAAAAAUAUGUCCAAUAGUUCAACAUAUAAAAUAAAUACAUGAAUACGGUAUAAUAAUAUUACAAAAAAUAAUUUACAGAAAGCGACUAUGUGAACAAGUGAAAGAGAGGGAGAGAAAGAGUAAUUAGAGUAGAGUUUUGCUUGUUUGGUUUUGUGGGCCAUCAAAUAUGCCCAAUAAAUAAAACUCUAUACACAUAUAAUUAAAAUACGUAAUAUAUAUUAUUAUAUAUAAUUAAAAUAUAUAUUAUAUGUAAUUAUAUAUAUAUUUAUAAAUAUUAUAUAUAUAAAGAGAGAGAGAGAGAAAGUACGUCUCCCGUAUUUUCGAAAGUACGGAGGCUUCCGUACUUAUAAGUUGUUUUCGAUGAUAGAAUAUAUGAUUUGAUAAUUGGUUCCGUUAGGUAUAAUUUAUAUUAUUGAAACUAUGUAGAAAUCAAAUUUUAUAAUUUUUUAAUAUCAUUACCAAGCGAUUAUAGGGUCUCAAAAAUGACUAUUUUAACGGCCGAUGUGGCACGUUUUUAAGUUCAACGGUUUAGAAAUAUCCAAAUUACAUAAAAAUUUAAUAAAAAAUUCUACUUAAUAUCAAAAUUAAGAACAAUACUUUCGAUUUGAAAUUUAAGUUCUUUAUUAUUAUUUUUUAUGAAAUUUUUAUUUUCAGCCGUUUAUUUUGAGACUACUCGUUCACUAGGCAAACGAAGUAAAAAAAAUUAUGAAAUUUGAUUUCUAGAUGGUUCCAACAGCGUAGAUCAAAAAAUCCAAAAUUUGUGUAUACACCCUUCUAAAUAGUUUGGAGCUCUCGGUUGAAAAGUGUAUUCAACGCAUAUUAGGCGAUAAUGGGUUAUAUAAUUAUAUUAGGCUUCAUUUAUAAACUUGAGCCAGAAAUUAGAAAUUUGAAGCUAUUAAUGUAUACAGAUGCAAAUUUUGAAGUGCCAAUCUUCCUUUUGGUUGCAUUUAUUUUAGAAAGAAGUGAUCAAAACCAUAAUGACUAGGCAUUUACAUUGCACAAGGUUUUUUUUUUUUAAUGCAAAUAAGGAAAAGCAGAGGAUGUUCAAACAUACAUUCAUUUGCCUAUAGUGAGAACUAUAGCAUAGGGAGCAAAAACUGCUUUUAGCUAAGAAGCCUCACUCUUGCUGCACUCAGCUCCUUUGCAACUUUCCUCAUGUCGCAUCGUUCGUAUGGCGAUUCGUCCGAGCACGCGAGACCGCAGUCGAACACCGAAACUACGCAAUCUCGCACACACUCUUCUCGAUAAGCUUUAUCAUUAUCAGCUGAGUGCAGGUUUCUGUCUAUGAUGUCCAUGAGAUGUUCAGGAGAAGCAGCAGCAGCACGGACAUAUCCACGAAGGGUCAGUCCGUCUUUGAACUUGUCGUCGAGGGGGCACAUUCCAGUGAACAUUUCCAGCAGAAGAAUUCCGUAGCUGUACACAUCGCCGAGCCUAGAUGGUUUACAGCCCAUUCCAUACUCUGGACAACAUAUGUUAAUUGGAAACAGACAAUACAAGAUUUUCAUUUGGAUUUGGGUUUGGUUCCCACUGUUUCCAAGCCAUAAUUACAAAAACUAAAUUUGACCUUUUAGAUUAUUUAUAUUGACUCAAGAAUAGCAUUAGAUAUGUAGAAAUGAAGUUCCAGCUCUUGCGUGCUUAGUGAUCAUAAUUAAUCAGUUUUUAGUAGUAAGCAUCAAGCAGUUUAUUCUAACUCCAGUAUUUUUACACUAAAUUUCUAAUUUUAUUUACUAAACUUCAUGCUGUUCACUUGUUUUUGCUUCAAAAGACAGUGAGCGGCAAAAAAAAAAUAUUAGAGAUAGUAUAGUUAGGAAUAAAAAAAAGAUGUGUUAUAUUUUUUUUCUGAAAUGCCGUAAAGCAUGAAAAAAGUUAGUAUUUCAUUGCAUAUUUCUCACCUGGAGGAACAUAGCCAAUAGAUCCUUUGAUUCCCACAGUGCUGGUAGAUGAACGCUCAGAUGAUUCGUCAAGCGGUUGCCGCAGAAACUUUGCUAACCCGAAAUCACCCACAUGCGCCGUCAUUUCAUUGUCGAGAAGGACGUUGCUGGGCUUAAGAUCACAGUGAACAAUCGGCACGGACCCUCCGUGAUGAAGAUACUCUAAUGCCGAUGCUACAUCGAUAGCUAUGUUCAACCUCUGGAUUAGGCUUAGGCUUCUAAAUGGCCAAUUCUCGCAUGCAUUUGGAUGUAGCCACUCUUCUAAGCUUCCAUUAGGCAUGUACUCAAAAACCAAGGCCUUGAAAUCGUUACCAUGGUGAUCCAAACUAGAGCACGAUGUAAGAAUUUUGACAAGAUUUCGGUGUCGAAUGCUUCUCAGGGCCUCACAUUCAGACAUAAAACUUUUGAAAGCCCCAUGCUGUUGAAGGUUAAGCACUUUCACCGCAACAAUGUCGGCGUUUUCAUAGUUCAUGGCGGCUUUAUAAACCGACCCAAAACUUCCCGUGCCGAUCAGAUUAUCUGAGGAGAACCCAUUUGUAGCCCUGAAGAGCUCAUCGUAUGAUACUUUCAUG
rnacentral:lncRNA from 1 species